rnacentral:rRNA from 1 species
AUUGAACUUUGGCGGCAGGCUUAACACAUGCAAGUUGAACGAUGAAACUCUAGCUUGCUAGAGAAGAUUAGUGGCGGACGGGUGAGUAACAUUUAGGAAUCUGCCUAGUAGUGGGGGAUAGCUCGGGGAAACUCGAAUUAAUACCGCAUACGACCUACGGGUGAAAGGGGGCGCAAGCUCUUGCUAUUAGAUGAGCCUAAAUCAGAUUAGCUAGUUGGUGGGGUAAAGGCCCACCAAGGCGACGAUCUGUAACUGGUCUGAGAGGAUGAUCAGUCACACCGGAACUGAGACACGGUCCGGACUCCUACGGGAGGCAGCAGUGGGGAAUAUUGGACAAUGGGGGCAACCCUGAUCCAGCCAUGCCGCGUGUGUGAAGAAGGCCUUUUGGUUGUAAAGCACUUUAAGCAGGGAGGAGAGGCUAAUGGUUAAUACCCAUUAGAUUAGACGUUACCUGCAGAAUAAGCACCGGCUAACUCUGUGCCAGCAGCCGCGGUAAUACAGAGGGUGCGAGCGUUAAUCGGAAUUACUGGGCGUAAAGCGAGUGUAGGUGGCUCAUUAAGUCACAUGUGAAAUCCCCGGGCUUAACCUGGGAACUGCAUGUGAUACUGGUGGUGCUAGAAUAUGUGAGAGGGAAGUAGAAUUCCAGGUGUAGCGGUGAAAUGCGUAGAGAUCUGGAGGAAUACCGAUGGCGAAGGCAGCUUCCUGGCAUAAUAUUGACACUGAGAUUCGAAAGCGUGGGUAGCAAACAGGAUUAGAUACCCUGGUAGUCCACGCCGUAAACGAUGUCUACUAGCCGUUGGGGUCCUUGAGACUUUAGUGGCGCAGUUAACGCGAUAAGUAGACCGCCUGGGGAGUACGGCCGCAAGGUUAAAACUCAAAUGAAUUGACGGGGGCCCGCACAAGCGGUGGAGCAUGUGGUUUAAUUCGAUGCAACGCGAAGAACCUUACCUGGUCUUGACAUAGUGAGAAUCCUGCAGAGAUGCGGGAGUGCCUUCGGGAAUUCACAUACAGGUGCUGCAUGGCUGUCGUCAGCUCGUGUCGUGAGAUGUUGGGUUAAGUCCCGCAACGAGCGCAACCCUUUUCCUUAUUUGCCAGCGGGUUAAGCCGGGAACUUUAAGGAUACUGCCAGUGACAAACUGGAGGAAGGCGGGGACGACGUCAAGUCAUCAUGGCCCUUACGACCAGGGCUACACACGUGCUACAAUGGUAGGUACAGAGGGUUGCUACACAGCGAUGUGAUGCUAAUCUCAAAAAGCCUAUCGUAGUCCGGAUUGGAGUCUGCAACUCGACUCCAUGAAGUCGGAAUCGCUAGUAAUCGCAGAUCAGAAUGCUGCGGUGAAUACGUUCCCGGGCCU